UACGAAGGGGGCUAGCGUUGCUCGGAAUGACUGGGCGUAAAGGGCGCGUAGGCGGAUGGCACAGUCAGAUGUGAAAUUCCCGGGCUUAACCUGGGGGCUGCAUUUGAUACGUGUUGUCUUGAGUUCGGAAGAGGGUCGUGGAAUUCCCAGUGUAGAGGUGAAAUUCGUAGAUAUUGGGAAGAACACCGGUGGCGAAGGCGGCGACCUGGUCCGACACUGACGCUGAGGCGCGAAAGCCAGGGGAGCGAACGGG
rnacentral:rRNA from 1 species